rnacentral:rRNA from 1 species
UACAGAGGGGGCAAGCGUUGUUCGGAAUUACUGGGCGUAAAGGGCGCGUAGGCGGCCUGUUAAGUCGAACGUGAAAUCCCCGGGCUCAACCCGGGAACUGCGUCCGAUACUGGCAGGCUUGAAUUCGGGAGAGGGAUGCGGAAUUCCAGGUGUAGCGGUGAAAUGCGUAGAUAUCAGGAGGAACACCGAUGGCGAAGGCAGGUCUCUGGGCCGAUACUGACGCUGAGGAGCGAAAGCGUGGGGAGCGAACAGG